rnacentral:piRNA from 1 species
ACAAAGUGAGUUUCAGGACAACC